CGGGUGAGUAACGCGUAGGAAUCUACCUUGCAGUGGGGGACAACCCGGGGAAACUCGGGCUAAUACCGCAUACGAUUUGAGGAUGAAAGCGGGUCUUUCGGGGCACGCGCUGUGGGAUGAGCCUGCGUCCGAUUAGCUUGUUGGUGGGGUAAAGGCCUACCAAGGCGACGAUCGGUAGCUGUUCUGAGAGGAUGAUCAGCCACACUGGGACUGAGACACGGCCCAGACUCCUACGGGAGGCAGCAGUGGGGAAUAUUGGACAAUGGGGGCAACCCUGAUCCAGCAAUGCCGCGUGUGUGA
rnacentral:rRNA from 1 species